UUUUGGACAAUGGGCGAAAGCCUGAUCCAGCAAUGCCGCGUGUGGGAAGAAGGCCUUCGGGUUGUAAACCACUUUUGUACGGAACGAAAAGGUCUGCCCUAAUACGGUGGGCCCAUGACGGUACCGUAAGAAUAAGCACCGGCUAACUACGUGCCAGCAGCCGCGGUAAUACGUAGGGUGCGAGCGUUAAUCGGAAUUACUGGGCGUAAAGCGUGCGCAGGCGGUUAUAUAAGACAGAUGUGAAAUCCCCGGGCUCAACCUGGGACCUGCAUUUGUGACUGUAUAGCUAGAGUACGGUAGAGGGGGAUGGAAUUCCGCGUGUAGCAGUGAAAUGUGUAGAUAUGCGGAGGAACACCGAUGGCGAAGGCAAUCCCCUGGACCUGUACUGACGCUCAUGCACGAAA
rnacentral:rRNA from 1 species